GACGAACGCUGGCGGCGUGCUUAACACAUGCAAGUCGAGCGGUAAGGCCCUUCGGGUACGACGAGCGGCGAACGGGUGAGUAACACGUGGGUGACCUGCCCUCAGCUCUGGGAUAAGCCUGGGAAACCGGGUCUAAUACCGGAUAUGACUCCAUGACGCAUGUUGUGGGGUGGAAAGCCUUGUGCGGCUGAGGAUGGGCCCGCGGCCUAUCAGCUUGUUGGUGGGGNGAUGGCCUACCAAGGCGACGACGGGUAGCCGGCCUGAGAGGGCGACCGGCCACACUGGGACUGAGACACGGCCCAGACUCCUACGGGAGGCAGCAGUGGGGAAUCUUGCGCAAUGGGCGAAAGCCUGACGCAGCGACGCCGCGUGAGGGAUGACGGCCUGGUGUAAC
rnacentral:rRNA from 1 species